GAUGAACGCUGGCGGCGUGCCUAAUACAUGCAAGUCGAGCGAAUGGAUUAAGAGCUUGCUCUUAUGAAGUUAGCGGCGGACGGGUGAGUAACACGUGGGUAACCUGCCCAUAAGACUGGGAUAACUCCGGGAAACCGGGGCUAAUACCGGAUAACAUUUUGAACCGCAUGGUUCGAAAUUGAAAGGCGGCUUCGGCUGUCACUUAUGGAUGGACCCGCGUCGCAUUAGCUAGUUGGUGAGGUAACGGCUCACCAAGGCAACGAUGCGUAGCCGACCUGGGAGGGUGAUCGGCCACACUGGGAAGGAGACACGGCCCAGACUCCUCCGGGAGGCAGCAGUAGGGAAUCUUCCGCAAUGGACGAAAGUCUGACGGAGCAACGCCGCGUGAGUGAUGAAGGCUUUCGGGUCGUAAAACUCUGUUGUUAGGGAAGAACAAGUGCUAGUUGAAUAAGCUGGCACCUUGACGGUACCUAACCAGAAAGCCACGGCUAACUACGUGCCAGCAGCCGCCGUAA
rnacentral:rRNA from 1 species